UCUCUUUCUUUCAUCUCUCCUCUUGUGUUUAACUUCCCCAGAGAGGGACUGACUUAGAGGCAUGUGAUCUGUAAGGGUGGUUGAAAGAGUGAGGUUAUUUCAAGCUCUUGUGAAAUGUUUAUUUGUUAUCAGAAGUGAUGCCGUGUUGAUGCCGCGAUGCCGCGUUUCUACAGUAUCUUAGUUUUCCAUCACUGUGCUGUAUAUUGAAGCACGUUUAAUAGUAUUCUUAUGUGCACAUCUUUGUUUUGUAAACAAUACAUUAGUGUGUAUAAAGCACUACAACUGUAGGUGUGUACAUUUCAUGAUUUCAAUGUAUGUAUGAACAAAUGUACCUAUCAGUGGAGGCUGCUGAGGGGAGGAUGGCUCAUAAUAAUGGCUGGAACGGCGCAAAUGGAAUGGCAUCGACCCAUCCGCUCCAGUCAUUACCAAGAUCCCGUCCUCCCCGAUUAAGGUGCCACCAACCUCCUGUGGUAUGCAGGUAAGUACAUUCCGUAGCAUAUGCGCAUAUUCGUGUAUACGUAAAGCAGAUAGGUAUGUAGGUAAGUUGGUAGUCAGGUAGGUACCUGCACUUGUAUUUAUCUACUGUUUUUACAGUAAAUUAAUGAAUUAAUUCAUCAAUUCAUCAAUGAAUUAAUGAUUGAAUGAAUGGAAGUUAUAAUGGUAUAAUAUGUGUUCUUCUGCUGUUGUGUUUUUACCGUCUAAUCAAUAUGUUACCACAACAAAUUGAUCAAGCUAAAUACAGCUGGCAGCAUGAUUAGACUAAUAUGCUAUUACAUAAUAUAUCAUUUCACAGCUUGCAACAAAUGAAUGAGUCAAUUAUGUAGCUGUUAAACUCGUAUCUGACAAACAUGUGUCUCAGUAGAAGCAAACUGUUUAUCACUGAAGCUUGACUAAACCCAUUAUGUAUUCAAUAGUUCAUUAUAACGUGCAGUCACGCUCUAUAUACACGUUUGCGCCUACACACACUCUACCGCUGAAAUCCCUGAUCACAUAGUCCUCAGUCACACCCUGUCCCCUGAGCAUCUCCACCCACCCACGCACGCACGCACACACACACACACACACACACACAUACACACACACUGCUCCUCUACCAAUCUGAAGUGUGGGACAAGUUCUCUCAAUGUAAUGCCCUGAAUACCUGUGGCUGGCUGGUGCAGGAGACAGACAGGUGUGUUGCCAUGGAGCAGAGGAGAGCAGAGGAGUAGUGCUGACUGUCGUGUCUGAGAGAGAAACGGAGGAGAGAGGAGAGGAGGGGAGAGAAGAGGAGAGGAAGGGAAAGGGAAGAAGAGAAGAGAGAAUAGGAUAGGAGGGGGAGAAGAGAGGAAAGGAGGGGAGAGGAGAGGAGGAGAGAGGGGAGUAGAAGAGAGGACAGAAGGCACAAAGGAGAUAAGAGAAUAGCAAAGGAUGGAAGAGGAGAGGGGAGAAGGAAAGUAGAGUAGAGGAGAACAGAGGUUAGAGUAGAGUAGGGCAGAUAUCUGUCCAUUUUUAGGCGGGCUGAUCUACGUCAGCACACUGGUGGAAACGGUGACCACUGACUGGCUGUUUCUGGCUGGUUGGGUGGCUGUCUGGUUAACUGGCUGAUCUCAGAGAUUAAAAACAUUCUAAUCACCUCAGCUCACAAAGAGCAGCACGCACACACAUACACAUUAUUUAAUCAAAUCAAAUCAAAUGUAUUUAUAAAGCCCUUUUUACAUUUAGUCAGGCAUUUCCACUGAGUACUGCAAUACCAUGGUGUCACACCGAGCCUCUGUUUACAGUGGCAGAAUACAGGCAGAAUUACAGGGGGACAUACAGGCAGAAUUACAGGGGGACAUACAGGCAGAAUUACAGGGGGACAUACAGGCAGAAUUACAGGGGGACAUACAGGAAGAAUUACAGGGGGACAUAGAGGCAGAAUUACAGGGGGACAUACAGGCAGUGGUGUCAUCUGCUUCAUGGCCCACGUGCCAUCAGGCAACUCCGCCAGCUCCAUCCCAGUGCUUGAGUUUGACGGGGGUGUCGCCAUAUGAGUUGAACCUCCGCCCGUCAGAGGAACAUCUGCUGAUAGUCUAACUGCACCCGCCUUUGACUGGUUUUCGCUGCUCUCUAACUGCUUGUGGUUGAGCACUCUUCCUGUCCUUCUUCCGCUUCUUCUUCAUCUUUCUUGUUUCAGUGUUACCAGAAUUCUGUUUCGGGACUGGAGGAGUCAUCAGGUCAUAUCAACUCGGUUCAUUCACAACAACAUACAGGGGGACAUACAGGGCCACAUUUGUCAAUAUAGCAGUCCAGGAGGAAAUCAUUUACAAAAUGAUUACGCAGAAUUUGAGUGAUUUAGUUCUUAUCUCCUAACUUCUCGUUAAAGAUGGUUUAAAGUUUUUUUAUAUAAAAUGAGACAAACACAUUUUGUGUGAUCCAUCAUUUACUGCUGUUGAUGAUUGCUGUAGUGUAAUAAUUUCUCUCCCAACAUUCCUCCUCUUCACUGGAUCUUCACACCAGAUGAAACGUGUGGGUGUGUGUGUGUUCUUGUUGGUGUGUGUGUGUGUGUGUGUGUGUGUGUGUGUGUGUGUGUGUGUGUGUGUGUGUGAGAGAGAGAGAGAGAGAGAGAGUCCUCCCCUAACCUACAGAUAGAAGGAGACUGACUGGAGAGAAGAGGGAAAACAGGAAAAAGAGCUCAUUCAUAACUAGUCUGAAUCCCCCAGACAAUACUACUCCAUAGCAGAAACACACUCAUUAUUUCUUUCUAGGCAGAAGUACAAAAACACAUCUCAAAGAUUUUCCCUCACACUCAAAGGUACUCGUUACAUUUUGGAUGCUUCGCAGAACAGGAAAAUGGCCCAAUUCACGCACUUAUCAAGAGAACAUCAAGAGAACAUCCUUGGGCAUCCCUACUGCCUCUGAGUUGGCGUACUCAUUAAACACAAAAGCUUCAUUUGUAAAUUA